rnacentral:rRNA from 1 species
AUGAGGCAGUAUUGGUGGGGAGUUGACAAAGGAAAGAGAAAAAUGGCUUGGCUCAGUUGGGAUAAAAUGCGCCUUCCAAAAUUGAAGAGUGGCAUGGGAUUCAGAGAUAUGCGAGCCUUUAACCAAGCCCUGCUAGCUAAACAGGUGUGGCGGUUGAUUGAAACCCCGGAUAGUUUGUGUGCUCGCCUGCUUCGAGCAAAAUAUUAUCCAAACGAAAAUAUUCUGGAUACAGUGUUUUCUGGCUGUUCUUCGGUUGUUUGGAAAGGCAUUGAAUAUGGC